AUGGUCAUGAAUGGUUGUGUUGUUGAGACGAGCAAGUCUAAUAUCCUGGCACCAGUACAGCUGAUGGACAAAACAUCAUGAAAAGGUUGCUUAGGCACUAUCAUUUUGCUCUGGGAUUUGGGAUGGGUUUUUGCAUUUUUAUUAAUGUUAUUUCCAUUUGUACAAUAAGCUCAUAAAUGCAUAAAAAUUCUUCCCUUGCUAAAUGAUAGUGCCUAAGCAACCUUUUCAU
rnacentral:misc_RNA from 1 species